UUCAUGGAGAGUUUGAUCCUGGCUCAGGACGAACGCUGGCGGCGUGCCUAAUACAUGCAAGUCGAGCGGACCGACGGGAGCUUGCUCCCUUAGGUCAGCGGCGGACGGGUGAGUAACACGUGGGU
rnacentral:rRNA from 2 species